rnacentral:rRNA from 1 species
UACGGAGGGAGCUAGCUGUUGGUUCGAAUUACUGGGCGUAAAGCGCGCGUAGGCGGCUUUGUAAGUUAGAGGUGAAAGCCCGGGGCUCAACCCCGGAACAGCCUUUAAGACUGCAUCGCUAGAAUCCGGGAGAGGUGAGUGGAAUUCCGAGUGUAGAGGUGAAAUUCGUAGAUAUUCGGAAGAACACCAGUGGCGAAGGCGGCUCACUGGACCGGUAUUGACGCUGAGGUGCGAAAGCGUGGGGAGCAAACGGG